GGGGGAUUAGCUCAGCUGGGAGAGUACCUCCCUUACAAGGAGGGGGUCGGCGGUUCGAUCCCGUCAUCACCCACCA
rnacentral:tRNA from 1 species